CGGAGACAUAUAUAAUAGUCUCCUUUUCAGGUGAGAGAGGAAGCUAUAGGCAGUGCUUUUAAGGCAUGCCCUCAAUAUUGUUGUCCGGGUGGAAAUCAAGAGAAUGGUUUCCCCGGGAGAUUUUCGGGAGGGGCACUGAAAAUCGGGAGGGUUGGCAAGUAUGGGUCUCAGUCUUACCUCGUGCUCGCCUCUGGAAGCAGCAGUUCAUCCUCAGUAUAUUCAGCCUCAAAAAUAUAAGGUUGCAAAUCCUUAUUUGUCCAAAAAUAGUCAUACUUGUUGUGUGUUACCAAGUCUGCCGUGAUUAGAAGACACACUCGUGUUUGAUCACAGAAGUAGGAACACAAGUUGUUGGCAGAAGUGGGAAGUGCGCUGCUAUGGAAACAGAAAUAAAAGCGCGAUUAUUGUCAUUAUGUCUCUCAUAAUGAUCGUCAAAAAUAGGCAAAAUUCCCCCCAAAAAAGUGCAGUUUCCCUUUAAAGUCACAAAAUGAAUCAAAUCGCCCCCCAAUCAGCAUCUAUAUAUAUUUUUUAUGUGGCCCUGGCUGGAAAAAGUUUACACACCCCUGAUUUAGAUGCUAUAAUUUUGCCAUUGUAACGGGACAUGUUUUUCCUCUUGUUUUUCUUUGUUUUAGUUAAGCGUUCAGUCUUGUCUGUUUUUGUGAUUUUAUUUGUCGCAAAGCACUGUUGUUUACUAGAAUGUGGAUGAAACGGUGACAUUUGUAAAGGUUUACAGUUUUACGGUAGGAAAGAAGAUUCACACGGCCCCCGUUCGUCGGUGGUUACCCGACACACGAAACGUGACGAAUUGCCGCCAGACAACAGCAGAGUGUUGGUUAUCUUGAAAUGUGUUUCAUGACAAUUCCGACUUUGACCAGUUGCGAUGUAGGGUGUCGCUUACUACUAUUUUCAGCAGACAUUGCAACGUGAUUAUCCGGCCCUUUUCCUCUCACGUGAGAUCCACCCAGGAACGGGGCCGUGUGAAAACCUUCUCUACUGCACACAGACACACACACACACACACACACACACACACACACACACACACACACACACACACACUACUGGUCAACAUUUGGAAUGGGGACCAAGAUGUUGUUCGGUACUUGUGGGGACCACCCUUUCUACAGGUUGUGGAAGCAUGAAAAAAAUUAAGUAAAAUGGCCACUGGCCAGUUAGCUCAUACACGUCUUUAAAUCUCUGGAUUAAUGAAGUAAUGUGCUGAUCACUCUUACUGGGGACCCUGGGGAAAAAUUUAACAUGAUUCAUGGGGACCAAAUUUAAAUCAUUUUGCAUAAUUCACUCACAUUUGUUCGUGACUACUGAGGACCAUAUAAAAAACUAAAAAGUUCAAAUUAUAUAUGACAUGAUGCUUCACGGUGGCAGAGGGGUUAGUGCGUCUGCCUCACAAUACGAAGUUCCUGCAGUCCUGGGUUCAAAUCCAGGCUCGGGAUCUUUCUGUGUGGAGUUUGCAUGUUCUCCCCGUGAAUGCGUGGGUUCCCUCCGGGUACUCCGGCUUCCUCCCACUUCCAAAGACAUGCACCUGGGGAUAGGUUGAUUGGCAACACUAAAUUGGCCCUAGUGUGUGAACGUGAGUGUGAAUGUUGUCUGUCUAUCUGUGUUGGCCCUGCGAUGAAGUGGCGACUUGUCCAGGGUAUACCCUGCCUUCCGCCCGAUUGUAGCUGAGAUAGGCGCCAGCGCCCCCCGCGACCCCGAAAGGGAAUAAGCGGUAGAAAAUGGAUGGAUGGAUGGAUGAUGCAAAUGUCUCACACUCAAACUAACAAGUAAACAUGUUUAAUGGGCCAAAGCUUAAAAAUAUCUUUGGCAUCUUCAGAAUGGAUCUGACUAUCAUUUAAAAAGGUUUACCUUUAGGGGACCUAUUUUUUUGUCCCCAUACCGUAAGAUGUCCCCUAAAGGUGACUGUGUAAACAGAGCGAUGUCCCCAUUAACUCAGCAUUGCCAGAAAACACACACACACACGCACACACACACAUACUGGUUAUCAUUUAGAAUGGGGACCAAGUUGUUGUUCGGUACUUGUGGGGACCACCCUUUCUACAGGUUGUGGAGGCAUAAAAAAUGAGGUUCAGUUAGCUCAUACACGUCUUUGAAUCUCUGGAUUGAUGAAGUAAUGCGCUGAUCAUACUUACUGGGGACCCUGGGGAAAAGUAUUUAAUAUGGUUCAUGGGGACCAGAUUUAAAUCAUUUUGCAUAAUUCAUACAAAUGUGUUCGUGACUACUGAGGACCAUAUAAAAAACAAAAAAGUUCAAAUUAUGUAUGACAUGAUGCAAAUGUCUCACACUCAAACUAGCAAGUAAACAUGUUUAAUGGGCCAAAGCUUAAAAAUCACUUAGGCAUCUUCAGAAUGGAUCUGACUAUCAUUUAAAAAGGUUUACCUUUAGGGGACCUAUUUUUUUGUCCCCAUACCAUCAGAUGUCUCCUAAAGGUGACUGUGUAAACAGAGCGAUGUCCCCAUUAACUCAGCAUUGCCAGAAAACACACACACACACACUGGUUAUCUUUUGGAAUGGGGACCAAGUUGUUGUUCGGAACUUGUGGGGACCACCCUUUCUACAGGUUGUGGAGGCAUAAAAAAAUGCGGUAAAAUGGCCACUGCCCAGUUAGCUCAUACACGCGUUUAAAUCUCUGGAUUGAUGAAGUAAUGUGCCGAUCAGUCUUACCGGGGACCAUAGGGAAAAGGAGUUAAGAUGGUUCAUGGGGACCAAAUUUAAAUCAUUUUGCAUAAUUCACACAAAUGUGUUCGUGAAUACUGAGGACCAUAUAAAAAACAAAAAAGUUCAAAUUAUAUAUGACAUGAUGCAAAUGUCUCACACUCAAACUAACAAGUAAACAUGUUUAAUGGGCCAAAGUUUAAAAAUCAAUUAGGCAUCUUCAGAAUAGAUCUAGAUGUUACAUGACCCCAUACCGUCUGAAGUCCCCAUUAAGUCAACAUUGCCAGAACACACACACACACACAGCAAAAGGGACAUUGGUGCACUAUUAGCCGUUUCGUAGGCGACACAGGAAGCAUGAUAAGUCCGGGUCGGCCUCCCGCAGGUGAAUGAAUGGCGGCUCCAGUCACAUGGUCACGGUCUGAAUGUGUCGGCGAGUAUCAAAAGGGGCGGCCAUAUGUAGGAAGCCACUUUUUUGUAGGACUGUAGGCGUGAAAUAGUCAGUGAGAACGUGAGAUGGACAAUAAAGGUUUUUUUUUGCAACUUAA